rnacentral:rRNA from 1 species
UACGUAGGGUGCGAGCGUUAAUCGGAAUUACUGGGCGUAAAGCGUGCGCAGGCGGUUCGUUGUGUCGGCGGUGAAAGCCCCGGGCUUAACCUGGGAAUGGCCGUCGAAACUGGCGAACUGGAGUGUGGCAGAGGGGGGUGGAAUUCCGCGUGUAGCAGUGAAAUGCGUAGAUAUCAGGAGGAACACCGAUGGCGAAGGCAGGUCUCUGGGCUGACACUGACGCUCAUGCACGAAAGCGUGGGGAGCAAACAGG